rnacentral:snoRNA from 1 species
AACAUCAUAAUAAUAUCGCGAAUGCACUGUCAUACACCGGAUUUUUAUUCUUUUAAUUAUCCAGAGGGUGAUUCAAACUUUCUAUACCUCCCUCAACUGUGAUGGUCGCUGAAGCGUAGAUAAAUUGAACGUUGCUGGGCGCCUGAUGCUGAUUAUUUAAGUGAUGCAUUGGGAAUCAGCUGUAUCCACAUUU